UUUUCUUUCUCCAUCCCACGGUCCUCACCAUCAUUGAUGCCACCAACCAUCAUGCUAUUCUUUUCUCUCACUAGCCCAUCUGAAAUUUCAAAGUUAAAACUCUCAUCUCCAAGGAUUUUCUCUCUCCAUCCCACUGUCCUCACCGUCACCGGUGCCACCAGCCAUCGUGCUAUUCUUUUCUCUCACCAGCCUAUCUAAAAUUUCAAAGUUCAAACUCUCAUCUCCAAGGAUUUUCUCUCUCCAUCCCACGGCCCUCAUCGUCGCUAGUGCCACCAGCCAUUGUGCCAAGCCACUGUUGUUGCGCGGGCUAUGUCUCACACCAACCUAGCAUCAUCGGAAAGUGCCGCCCACCUGCAGGCAUAGGCACUACCCAGGGGUUGUUGGGCUCGUUUUUGGCAAUGAUAAUUCUGGUUCAAAUGAAGAUAGGUUUCAUUGAUCCUAAAGCUUUGAUACCAAAAGAACUUACAUAACAAAGAAGCAUCAUACAUUCAUACCAAGAGAUGGGGCAAGUUGUUUAAGACGAGGCAAGUCAAAGUGAUCAAGCUAAGAUUGAAAAUUGUAGACUUUGGAUGGAAUAUAUAAUCAAGAAGCAAGAGGUUACA